GCCCUCAAAGAAAUCAGCAUCGACCAGGGACCCACCUCCCCACCCCAUUUCUGGCCCCUGCCCAGUCAUCUUCUGAGCAGGAGGCGCUACAGCGGCACCAGAGACCCUCUUCCCGCCUGACAUCUCAAAUACACGCAAUUAGACCAUUUAUCAAAGCUUCUCGAGACGUCUCAAAUCAACAUCGCCACACGCCAAAUGCGCAAGCACAACAGCGAAACGCAAAAGGGCCCGAAUGGCCGCAGAAUUUCCUGCGACUUGAAGGCGCAGGGCCCCCCGCCGCGUCCAGGAUGCGCUCGGGCUGGGAGGAAGCCUCGGAACGCACCCAGAACCCUUUGAAGACGCCAAACACGACCUGAAAAUACAAGUGCGUUCUGAACCUCAGCGGGGCCGUCGUUUUAAAGUCACCCGAGGACAGAUUUUGAAUUUGUAAGAGAACAAUUUCUAAGAGAGCAAAGGACUUCCUGGAGAAAUUACCUGGCAACAGUCUGCUGUUUGUAGUGUUGGCGGGAGAUUUCAUCAUUAGUCUAAUUUCAGAAGGGUGCAAGCGUCAAAUGUAGUAAAAUCUGGCAUGCAAAAGAAGGAUAAUACGAAAAUUCCACUUGAGAUGUUGUUACAUCUUCGGCUGAGUAAAAUCCAUAUUUCGCAAACCUCACCAUUCUUGUCAUUUUAGGCCACCCAGAACGAACGUGAGACGCGCACGCGUUUUC